UACGUAGGGUGCAAGCGUUGUCCGGAAUUAUUGGGCGUAAAGAGCUCGUAGGCGGUUUGUCGCGUCUGCUGUGAAAACUCGGGGCUUAACCCCGGGCCUGCAGUGGGUACGGGCAGACUAGAGUGCGGUAGGGGAGACUGGAAUUCCUGAUGUAGCGGUGAAAUGCGCAGAUAUCAGGAGGAACACCGGUGGCGAAGGCGGGUCUCUGGGCCGUAACUGACGCUGAGGAGCGAAAGCAUGGGGAGCGAACAGG
rnacentral:rRNA from 1 species